CUAAUUAAAUACACAGCAGCCACAUGCUCAGCAAAGUGGCUCUAGUGUAUAUUCCUAUACUGUAGCGAUAUUUUACUGGAUAAAAGAACGAGAAAAGUUGAUUCAUCUUCGGGUCGCUGAACACAUGCUAAUUGCUUGAAGGAUGGCCAACUCGUGCCCUACGAAAUCACAGACAAAGCGGUAGAUUUAAACAUUGCGAUUGCAAUAAAAGCAAAAUUGUAUCGGGAUGACCAAAGAGAUCGGGAUGUCCAGAGAUCAGUCCUGUGUUACAAACACAAAGAAGGGGAACUAAUGGUUCAACCAAUGUUCUAUGGCUCUGACGAAGUACUGGAACGUGAAUUGGUUUGAUUACAGUUAAAUUCACUUAGAAAAUCAGGUGUAUCGAGUUCAAUAUUUUGUAUUCUUACAUGUUUAGAAAUAUAUAUAUAAAUUCAUUUAUGUCGUAUAAAUAUUAGUUCUUUGGUGAGCACACGUAUCAUUUGAUGAUUGCGAUCAAGUUUCUUGCCAUAUCAUUGUAUAAGAAUGGCUACUACAAAAAUCCGUGCAUUUAUACUCUUCUUCUUGCGUUUAGAAAUCUUCUAAAUAGUGCAUCGUUUGUUUUCUCAAACUGUUAUAUAAUAUAUAUAGGAAAAACGUUUUAUGCCAUAAACUUUAAUCGUGAUUGCAAAAAGAAUAAAAAGGUAUUUCAUCAAGAUGAUUUUGCUGUAAAUUUUCGACAGUUUAGCAUACACUAAUGGCCGGAAUUUAGCAUCGGAACUAAAAUAUACGAAUGUCAGUUUUUAUGAAAUAAGUCCUUAUUGAAUCAUCAGCACUGGAGACAACAACGCUCUACCGUCUCUUAUUUUAAAUCAAACAUUGUUUAAAAACAUACAAAACAUUAAAUGUGCUUGAGAUGCUGGCAAAGUUUUAAUUGCCCAAAGGUGAAUCGUGUUAGUAGUUAUAAUAUUCAUGAGGAAACAUUUUUAUCGUAGCACGAGACAAGGGAUUAAGUAUUGACGUCUUUAACAAGGCAAACUAAAAAUAACGCGGAAAUCGACAACUUUGAAAAAAAUAAUGAACAAAACCGCUAAGUGAAAAACACUUAUUCAAAAACUAAAAAGUAAGACUAAUUCAUGCUUUGCACUUUAUGUCCAACACGAGAAGUUACGUUUUGGGCUUUAAAAUUCUAUUAAGAGGCCCUAGGUAUAUAACAUCUUUUACCUUUCCUUAUCUGGCUUGCGUACAUUUGCGCUUAUUUUACCACUCCGACUACUUGUAAAUUUUCGUUCAAAUCUCAACCCAAAGUUUUGAAAGGUUAAAAAUUACAUUUAAGUACGCUUCGAUAUUUACGUUUUCUUACAAAUUUAAUCCCAAUAAACAUUAGUCGGCAACAUUAUAAAUAGAUUUUUAUCUCAAAAUGUAUCUAACGAUUACUAAGAAACUCUAAUGUUUGCAUUUUGUGUAUGUUUUCAGAGAAAAGAAGACGAGAUUUUCUUGUGAGAUUGAACAGCUGCAAGCCAUGCAGAAGAGACACAACUGUGCUCCAGCAUAUCUAUCAAGCUUGUGAUGGUGAUGUAAAUGUUGCUAUCAAGUGGUGACAAAAUCUGUGAGCUCUCAUGUCUUUGUGCCUCCACCACCACCAUUAUUCACAAUUCCCUCGUCAAUGCUCACUUCCAAUCAAUGGCUAUUUCACCCCAUAUUCCCGGGAACCUCUACAAUAACGCGUGCUAGAGUUCUAUCAUCAAAGACUAAGGAGCAAACGUAAAACAAAACAUUGGAAAACUUCCUAAUGACCAGGACAUGAUAGAAGACUAGGUCAUAGUCUCCUGAUUUGACGCCUAUUCCUUUCGGCUACACUGCAAGAAAUUCAAGAGUUCGGAAUGAAUUUGAGGUGUUGCAAAUGCUUGGGAAAAGGAGGAUUUGCGUCAGUUGUCAAGAUAUUAUAAUUUAUGGAUUGAGGUAGAAGAAAUACUUGAAAAUGAAACUUCCAAAAGCGAAACAAAAUCCAAGCAUGACAGAGGAUAAACAACGAUGCCAGUUUUAAGAUAGAUUGAUGAAAUUCAACGUGGUUAAAGCACCUAGCGUACGCUAGAGAGUUGAUGAGGACUCGAUGACCAAUCAAAACACAAAUGAUUCCAAAAGAAAUAUCGAUGAAUCACAUAUACAUUUUGGAAGCUCGUUGGCUCACGUGAUAUAAUGGACGAGAAAUCUGAUUUCGAAAGUGAAAAGGAAGCAAUCAUCACAGGAGAUUUGCAAGAAGAUUCAAAGUGUAUUCUGCACGUUUUGCGUAUGCAGAUGUUGUAUUGUGAGAAGAGUACUCUAAGAAUGUUAUUGACGAGGGAUAGUACAAGCACCAACAGAGAAUGUGGCGGCUUCUCCGUGAUAUUAUAGAAGGAUUAGUUCACGUUCAUUCGCAGACGUCUAUCUCCGGAGAUCGGUAACCAAUGCUUAGCACAGCAGCUUCUUGGACAUCCUGUUAUCUCUCCAAAUGUCAUUUCGCACGGUUUAAGCAAUAACAUCACUUCAGAUACGCUUGACGCUGAAAAAGAUCACGGUUGAAAUCAAAAUAGCUGUGAUGAUGGAGAUGAGUAUUUUGAAAUGAUGCCUAAUCUUUCGGCUACUCUGCGAAAAAUUCAAGAAUUCGGAAUGAAUUUGAGGUGUUGCGAAUGCUUGGAAAAAGGAGGGUUUGCUUCAGUUGUCAAGAUAUUAUAAUUUAUGGAUUGAGGUAGAAGAAAUACUUGAAAAUGAAACUUCCAAAAGCGAAACAAAAUCCAAGCAUGACAGAGGAUAAACAACGACGCCAGGUUUAAGAUAGCUUUAUGAAAUUCAACGUAGUUGAAGCACCUAGAGUACGCUCGAAAGUUUUGGAUGAGGACUCGUGGACCAAUGAAAACACGAAUGAAUUGGAAACUGUUUACAUAGUUUCGUAAAAGCACUAUUGCCAAUGCACAUUUAAUAUAAACGACAAGUUUUCUGAAACAUGUCGAAACAUGUCUAUUUUCAGGAAACUGUUUAAUACUUAUCAUAAGAUAAAUCUUCUCGAGCAAUUUCACAAUAUUCUGAUGUAAUAACUACCCAAAACAUUUAAAAUUUAAACAACUAAUUUGGCCUAAUUUGAGAAUUUCAACAUGAAUGAUUUGUGGCACUCGAAUUUCGAGCAUGCGCAAUGGACACGCGCGAGGAUACGGACUUUUCAAGCACCGGAAAAACGAAGAAUGUUUUUGGCCACUUUACUUCUUCAAUUUUUUUUCAGAGAGCGUAAUGCUAGUUUCGAGGUAUUAAUGAAAAUCCGAGUUAAUGCACCCUUC